UGUGGUGUAGUGGUUAGUGCAUCGGACUACUAACACAAAGGUUCCUGGUUUGAUUCCCAUUUGGGAUGAAAAUUUCAGGAACUCAAUUUUCAGCUCUCUCUUGACACCAUCUGCAAGUAUGGUCUUGAGGAAACGAUGAUAGUCCGUCGGAAGGGGAUGAUAAAUGGCUGACCCGUGUUAAGAGAGAGCCAUAUCUCUUGCACGUUAAAGACACCCUUGUAGAUUUCGAAAAAGAGUAGGCAGCACUUGCACCAGCAACGUGGAAAGGGAUUAAUAUAAGUUGCAAAACUUGUUUCCCAAUCCACUAUAAAUAAAUAUGUUUAAACUAGUA
rnacentral:lncRNA from 1 species